ACAUUACAGACCACUCCUGUCUGAGGGCCGGCU
rnacentral:sRNA from 1 species